CCUUCUUAACAAGUAUAUCCUUUUUAACUAGUUUUUGUGUUCAAUGUCUUUAUGCUCGAGUGUGAGCUCUUCUGAUGCAUGUGGUUUCUUCUCCCCUUAAAAGAGUUUAUGAGAUUUGCUCUUCUGAUGCAUGUGGUUCUUCUCCCCUUAAAAGAGUUUAUGAGAUUUGCCAUUGUUGAUUUGUUCUCAGGACGCAAGGUUCUCUUUUACCUCUUUGGCUUUGAUGGAAACGCUUCUCCUUUGUGCUACAUCUUCAGGGAUCAUCGUCGAGCCAGAGGCACUGGGAUUGGAACUGUUCUGUUGAAUCUUAUCUUCUCUGUCUAUCAUCAUCUGUUUAGGUUUUGUAUGAUGCUUAUAUCGAUGAAUGAUGAGUGAAGGCUUUGAUGGAAACACUUCUUCUUCUUGCUACAUCUUCGAUCAGGGGGUUCGUUUAACGGUUGAAAGGAGUCAGGUUUGGUUUGACCUCUCUAGUUGUUUUGUGGUUUUGGAUGAUGGUUUUAUGGAUCAGUGAUGGCUUUGUUGGUCAAACUUCAUCUCUGUGCUAUGUCUAGAGGGGCUUUUUGGAAGCAAAUUGUAAUCUAUAUCAUCUCUUAGUCAAGGUUAUAUUAGAGAAAAGCAUUAGGGGUAUGUUUAACGUUGGAAAGGAGUCAGGUUUGGUUUGACCUCUUUGGAUGAUGCUCUUAUUUACUUGCUGUUUUGUGAUUUCAGGUUCUGAUGAUGCAUUGAUGGAUCAUUGAUGUCAUUGAUGGACACGCAUCUUAUUUGUUCUUUUCUUAGGCUUAACACAUCUUAUACUUUUCUUUUUCUUGUUACUUACAUUUCUUUCUUUGUCUUGCAUGUCUUUUCAGAGCAAAAUUAUAUCUGAUUGUAGCUUAUUCCUAGUGAUGCUGGCAUUUACGUUUUGAGUCUAAGACCUUGUCGUUUGUUUUACUUGUCCUUCUGUUGUUUCAGGUUUUGGUUGAGUCUCUAUCGAUCAAUGAUUGCUUUCAGGGGUUUUGUUUUGGAAGCAAACUAUGAUCUUGAUCAUCGUGUAGUCAAGGCUAUGUAAGAGAACAUUCAUCAGGCUACGAACUCGUCUCUUUCCCCUUCUUUCUCUGUACUAUAUCUCACAUGCUGCAUCGAUUCCUUAUUUUUGAUCCUAUUUUUAUAUGCUUGUCACUGUAACCUUAAUUAUGUGAAGUGAUCCUCUUUUAAUUUAAGACCUUGUCGUUUGUUAUAUAUAGUUGAAGUCAUAUAAGAGAAAAGUAUGAGGUUAGUAACUUUGGAUGAUGCUUUGAUUUACUUGUCGUUCUUUUAUAUCUGGUUUUAUAUGGUGAUCAGUGAUGGCUUUUAUGGAUACGCUUUCAGGUUAGUAACUGGUCACAAUCCCCUUUUUCUCUGUUUAUGUAUCUCUCAUGCUGCAUCUAUUCCUACUUUUUGAUCUUAUUCUCAUGUGCUAAAUAGCCGAGGUAUAAGAGAAAAUAGUCUGGUUACUUACUAGUCUCUUCCCACUUUUUUAGCUGUUAAUUUUUUGUAACCUUCUUAACAAGUAUGUGUCCUUUUUAACUAGUUUUUGUGUUCAAUGUCUUUAUCCUCGAGUGUGAGCUCUUCUGAUGCAUGUGGUUUCUUCUCCCCUUAAAAGAGUUUAUGAGAUUUGCUCUUCUGAUGCAUGUGGUUCUUCUCCCCUUAAAAGAGUUUAUGAGAUUUGCCAUUGUUGAUUUGUUCUCAGGACGCAAGGUUCUCUUUUAACUCUUUGGCUUUGAUGGAAACGCUUCUCCUUUGUGCUACAUCUUCAGGGAUCAUCGUCGAGCCAGAGGCACUGGGAUUGGAACUGUUCUGUUGAAUCUUAUCUUCUCUGUCUAUCAUCAUCUGUUUAGGUUUUGUAUGAUGCUUAUAUCGAUGAAUGAUGAGUGAGGGCUUUGAUGGAAACACUUCUUCUUCGUGCUACAUCUUUGAUCAGGGGUUUUGUUCUUUUCUUCCUUCCUUUUAACACGUUUUUUACUUUUUCUUUUUUUUUUUGUUCGUAACAUUCUUUCUUCCCCUUUAUUUCCACUGCAUCUGUAUCUCUCAUGCUGCAUCAAUUCCUUGUUUUUGAUCCAUUCUGAUAUGCUUAUCACUAUGGCCUUGAUUUAUGUGAAGUGGUCCUCUUUUUUUGUAAGGUAUGUUUAAUGGUUGAAAGGAGUCAGGUUUGGUUGACCUCUCUAGUUGUUUUGUGGUUUUGGAUGAUGGUUUUAUGGAUCAGUGAUGGCUUUGUUGGUCAAACUUCAUCUCUGUGCUAUGUCUAGAGAGGCUUUUUGGAAGCAAAUUGUAAUCUAUAUCAUCUCUUAGUCAAGGUUAUAUUAGAGAAAAGCAUUAGGGGUAUGUUUAACGUUGGAAAGGAGUCAGGUUUGGUUUGACCUCUUUGGAUGAUGCUCUUAUUUACUUGCUGUUUUGUGAUUUCAGGUUCUGAUGAUGCAUUGAUGGAUCAUUGAUGUCAUUGAUGGACACGCAUCUUAUUUGUUCUUUUCUUAGGCUUAACACAUCUUAUACUUUUCUUUGUCUUGUUACUCACAUCUUAUACUCUUUUCCAACGUUAAACAUACCCCUACACAAAAGAGGACCACUUCACAUAAAUUAAGGCCAUAGUGAUAAACAUAUAAGAAAGGGUCAAACACAAGGAAUUGAUGCAGCAUGAGAGAUACAGAUGCAGAGGAAAUAAAGGGGAAGAAAGAAUGUUAGGAACAAAAAAAAAAGAAGAAGUAAAAAACGUGUUAAGAGGAAGAAAAGAACAAAACCCCUGAUCGAAGAUGUAGCAAGAAGAAGAAGUGUUUCCAUCAAAGCCUUCACUCAUCAGUCAUCGAUAUAAGCAUCAUACAAAACC